AUAUAUACACACACAGUUGGGAAUUUGCAUAGAGGUGUGUAUAUGUAUAUAGAAACCAUAUAUCUGUGUUUCUAUAUAUGGUUAAUUGCAUGAGCUUCAGUGCCAGACAAACCCAUAUGUAAACCAUGGAUAACUCAUUUAACCUCUAUGAACCUCAGUUUUCUUCUCCAUACAAUGGGAGUUAAUAAUGCCUAUUUAACAAGAUUGUUGUAUGGUUUCAUUGAAAUAACAUCUGUAAAAUGCCUAGCACAGUUCAUAGUACAUGGAAAGCAGUCUAUAAUAGGAAGUUGCUCUCAAUGCUGUUAUUAUCUUUAUCAUUACUUUAGAGAACAGAGCUUCGGCUUAAAGCCUGGGCUUGAAGACUGGCUCCCCUACAACAACAAUACAGGACAAAAUAAGUAAGGCAACUAUUUUCAGCAUUGGACAACAGACAGCACAGAGCCGCAAUUCCUAAAGACAGUAUUUUAGUUACUAUGACUAUAUAACAAAUUACCCCCAAAACUUAGUGAAGUAAAACAACCAUUUAUUAAGUUGACAGAUACUGUCAGCCAACAUUUCAAAUAGGGCACAUCAGGGAGACACAGCUUGUCUCCAUUCUACAGUGUCUGGGGCUGGAAUCAUCUGAAGUUUCUUUAGAUAUCUGGCGGUCGAUACUGGCUGUUGGCUGGUGGCCUCAGUUCUUUUCCACGUGGGCCUAUCCACAUGGUCUGUUCAUGUGGGCUAGUUGGGGCUUCCUUAUAACAUGGUGGCCCGGUCCUGGGCAUGAGUUUUGGGAGAGGGGAGAAGAGACAGGAACUACAUCCUUUUUAUGACCUACUAUUGCUUCUGCUGCACUCCAUUGGCUAGAGCAGUCACAGCCCACUCCCAGGUUCAAGGAGGGACCAUAGACCUCACAACUGCUGGGAGGAGUGUUAAGGUCACAUUGUGAGAAGAACAUGGGAAUGGGAGAUAUUGCUGUGUCAUUUAGGGAACAACCAUCCACAAAAGGAAAACCCAGAAAGUGAGCCCCAUAAUUACUCCAGCUCUUUGCUUGGAGACAAUUCCUGACCACAGUGCAGGGAGCUAGACCUCAAGCAGAACACAGCAGUCCUGCUGUGCUGAGGUGACAAAGCUUAGAGUUCAGGGCUGUUGAAGUAGCUAGAAUCCAUGAAGUGACACGUCACAGAGGAGGAGCUAUAGUGAAGGAGGUUCCCAUAGGUCUGUGUGGAAUUCACUGCAAGUGAGAAUGUGUGGCGCUUAUCAGAGAACAGCUGCUAUGUGAUUGAGAACAGGAAAAAAGACUGGAGAAAUUGAGCAGUUCUGGAAGAUAUUGGCAGUCUGGGCCAGCCAAAAUGGAAAAAUCUCUUUAAAACCCUGGGCAUCUAUCUGAAACACCAGCAAUGCCAUGCUUUAGGUGUAAGGACCAUGAACUAGAGUCAGACCUACUCAAACAAAACUUGGAAAUGAGUAAACAUAAAACACUUUUUUUCCCUUGUCCUAAUUUCUGUAAAAGACAACUGGCUGCUUAAAGCAAAAUAAUAACAUUUUAAGUUGGA